ACCGCGCGGGAGGGGCGGGGCCUGCCGCCGCCACCGCCUCAGGGAAGAGGAAGGAGGCCGCGGCUUCGCGUCCCGCCUCUCGCCUGGCUGGCCGUGGGGGGCCUGGACGCAGUGGCCUCCCGAAUCUCCCAGGACCCUAAUAUCGCCCGAGGAUGCUGGGAGGAACGCUGAGCCGACCUCUCCGUUAGGCUGAAGAUUGCACAAACCAUGCUAAUGGCCAGCAUGGAUGGAGGGAGCGUGUGAGAUGUGUGGGGCAGCGUGCUGCAUCUCAGCCAACUCCAGGAGAUGGAACGAAGUCUGUUUGUGGAAACACCCUUCCCCUCUGUUUACUUGGACCUGAUUUUGAAAGUAACAAGUCACUUUAUUUGGGCUGGAGGAAAAAGCACUAAACCAGAUGUUGAGGUGACCGGGAUUCCUGGAAGACAUUCUUCUCUCCAACGAGACACAUGAUGCAUGAAGUAGGAGCCCCUGGCAAGGAGCCCAGGCUGCCAUGGCCUCGCUCGCUCCUGCUUCCCGGCAUGGCCCCGAGGCUAGCUGCCUCUGUACUGCCUGAGCAUCGUCCCCUGGCGUGUCACCAGACUACCCACUACCUGUGCUUGCACCUGCAGGUGGGCAGUUCAGUCGUUGCAGGCUGAAGCUCCCUGUCACAGGAGUCCAUCAGCACUGGAGUUUACCAAAUGGCCCAGUCCAGGAAGCAUGCUCAUGGCAAUACCCGGAGUCUCCACUGCAAGACCAGAGUGACGGAGGCAGCAGAGCUCCUCAGCAGGCCAGGAGUCUCCAGAGGCACUGCCGAAUGUCUAAGAAGCAACCUCAUUGUAUUCCCAAGACCUGGGAAUCCAGGUCUCGCAGAUACGAUGAUACAAUCUAUAGCCAGGACAUCUCUUCAUGUGUAGGCCAAGCUAUAAAUAAAGGGUGGACUGACCUUGUCAACUGUUAAAUUGGAGCCGUGGUGCGUUGCCUAGAACAUUGCGGAUGACCCCGAGCAGCACAGCAGAUCAACGGCUGAGAAAGAGCUCAUUCAGCUCAUCUAACUAGGAUGCUGUCCUGCCAGAGCCCUGGGGGUUCUCGUCUCCUGGGGCAAAAGCAGCAUGCAACCCUUAUGAACCCAUCUUGGAAGGCAUUCGGGGAGCCCAAGACAAGACCAUUGGGAGCCUCAGGGUCACUUGUGGGGGUCUCUGUGCUGGACGGCUGUACCUCUCAUGAAAUGGACAACUGACCAUAAGAAGGAGGUAAGUUACGCAUGGACGGGAAAAUAAGAAGCUCCUACUUAGGGCUGUGAUAUGUGCGGUAACCAUUUAACGUUAAUAGCAUCCAUGUGAGACAGGUGCUAGUACUGCCCCAUUUCAUAUUGGCGGACAUUGAGGCACACAGACUGUAUGACUUGCCCAAGGCUGCCCACCUGGUUAGGGGAGCUCCAGGAUUCCAAUCCAGUCCGAACUCAACACGAGGGGUGGCACCUACAGGCUGGGGUCAAUCUGGAAGACUGCCUGUUGUAUGGCCUGGCAACUAAAAAUUGUUUUUUACAUUUUUAAAUGGUUGACAAAAUUAAAAUAAGAGAAUAUUUCAUGACAUCAUCAAAUUACACGAAAUGCAAAUUUCAGCAUCUACAAAUACAGUUUGAUUGGGACACAGCCACCCUCAUCCGUUUGCAGGCUAUCCCUGGCUGCUUACAGGGUCCACAUAGUCCAUAAAGCCUGAGAUAUUUACUAUCUGGCCUUUUACAGAAAAAGUCCCCAAACACUAAUCUGAAAUGUUUGCAUCAGAACCCCUUGUGGGGCUUGUUAGAAUGCAGCUCCCUGGUCCCACACCCAGUCUCUGAUUCAGUAAGUCUGGAGCAGGGCCUGGGAAUUUACAUUUCAAAAUAAUUUCCCAGGUGAUGCUCAUACUGGUCCACAGACCACUUUGAGAGCCACUACCCUAAACCCCAGUGCUCUACUGCUUGUUGUCAGGAUGGCUGGGUCAGGUGAGAAAGAAGCCUAGACAUCCCUAGAGCCACCUGCUGUGCAGCCACCUUUUGAGAAAGUGUCCCCAGUGAUCUUUUCCCAGGUUAGCCUUUGUGGCUUGGGCAUCCAGCCUUUCAGAGAUAUGAAACCACACACGUCUUCAGAGUGAACAGCUGCUCACCCCGAUGUGCUCAAGGGGUGCAGGAUGUGGACACAUCCUACUGAAUGAGCCAGACAACGUAACUGGAUCUGUCCAGAACACCACGAUGGGUGACAUUGCCAUCUGCAGCAGUGCUGUACUUCCUCCCGCCAAUUUGUAAAGUGCAGACAGGAUGCUGGAUCAACUGGCUGCUGCUGAGGCCAGUGACCUCUAGGGCGUAUUCCCACGUUCCUUUGCAGUAGCUGCUCACCUUUGUAAGCAUGUGAGUUAUUCGUGCUGUCUGUUGUGAUCCUAAGGAAUCCAAUGGUCAGGACCAGAACUUCUGAAGUACAGCCCAGCAUUGCCGUCUGGCAUCCCCAGAAAGCAGAUUUUGAGAUUGGCAUGAUGGCCGUUAAGCAGGGCGUUCUCUCUGGAGCAAUGUCUAGCCGGGGUCGGAGUGGGGAGAGAGAGAGGGGGGCUGCUGAGAAUAUCACAGAGAGAUGGCAGCCUUUCUGCAGCAUAGGCCUAAGUGCACACUCACCUGGCUAUCACUGAGAGGACUCUCUGUUCAACAGGGCCACUCAGGGCUUCCCCUGCAUGGAGAUCUGAGUGUCCAGGGAGGGGACGUGGUGAGCAUUUCUCUGGUCAAAGUGUGCAAAGCAAAAUCUGCCCCAUUCCUGCCAAAGUGGUUGACAUGGAGGAAAGGGGAGUGCCAGUUCUGUAGGCUGAGGUGGUGGCUGUUAGAACUGCUCCUAGGCUAGUUGGUGUUCUGGAAGGUUCCCCUCUAUGUGAGAUGAAAGAGCAUAUCUUUAAGAGCUGCAACUUUGAAGCUCUAAUAUAGAAUGCUUUUGGUGGCAAGCAUUACUUCGGAAAGGGCUUGAAGACCCCUGAAGAUCCUUGGUGGCCUAGGCAGUUCCUUUAUUGCCAGGGCUGUGCAGGACUAAGCUUCAACAGCGCCACCAUGUGACAAGAAGCAAUUGCAGUGGUGCAUUGAGGGUUUUCUUUUGCACUGAGAACUCAAGUCCCACUUUCACCCUUGGACCUGGUAAAUCUUUGGGGUUCAUGGACAAUUCUGAGGAGGAGAUACUUAAGAGAGUGAUGUUAGAAUUUGAUGUUUUGGUUUAUUGUAUCAGAAAAUAAAAGAAAUUGGAUUUAUAGCUCAGUUUGUGGUUCAUAUCAAUUUAAAUAGCUUUGAAAUGCUGAUAGGACCAUCACGGUUUUUUGGUUGCUGAAAUCCCAUAACUAAAGCAAUGCCUCAAUAAGCUUUUAAUCCACAGCCCCCAUGCCCAGGUCUAUAACAAAGUUUUUAUAUGCCUAUGGGGAAAAACAAUUAUGAGGCAAACAUUUAUAAAGUUAAAUUUAUUACGUUUCUACUCCUAUUUUUUAUUCUGCUGGUGUAUUGUUAUAUAUUUUCCUACAUAUUUAAACAUUUUCUUCCUCUUAUAAAAUGUUAGUGAUUUUAAAUGAUGGUGUGUCCGGAAUUGGUUCCUUCUGGUGGGUUCAGUCUUGCUGACUUCAAGAAUGAAGCCACAGAUGCUCACAGUGAGUGUUACAGCUCUUAAAGAUGGUGUGUCCAAAGUUUGUUCCCUCAGAUGUUCAGAUGUCUCCAGAGUUUCUUCCUUCUGGUGGGUUCGUGGUCUUGCUGACUUCAGGAGUGAAGCCGCAGACCUUUGCAGUGAGUGUUACAGCUCUUAAAGGUGGUGCGUCCAGAGUUGUUUCUUCCUCCCAGUGGGAUUAUGGUCUCGUGCAGACCUUGCAUUGAGUGUUACAGCUCUUAAAGGGGGCACGGACCUGACCAUCCUGGCUAAAAUACAGUGAAACCCCAUCUCCACUAAAAUUACAAAUAUUAGCCCGGAGUGGUGGCAGGUGCCCAUAGUCCCAGCUACUCCGGAGGCUGAGACAGGAGAAUAGUGUGAACCCGGGACGCGGAGCUUGUAGUGAACAGAGAUUGCGUCACUGCACUCCAGCCUGGGCGACAGAGCGAGACUCCAUCUCAAAAAACAAGAACAAAAAAACAAAAAAAAGGCAGCGCAGACCCAGAGUAAGCAACAGCAAGAUUUAUUGCCAAGAGCCAAACAACAAACCUCCCACAGCGUGGAAGCAGACCCAAGUGGGUUGACACUGCUGGCUCAGGUGGUCUGCUUUUAGUCCCUUAUUUGGCCUCACCAACAUCCUGCUGAUUGGUCCAUUUUACAGAGAGCUGAUUGGUCCAUUUUACAGAGUGCUGAUUGGUCCAUUUUGACAGAGUGCUGAUUGGUGCAUUUAUAAACCCUUAGCUAGACACAUAGCGCUGAUUGGUGCAUUUACAAUCCUUUAGCUAGACAGAAAAGUUCUCCAAGUACCCUACCCGAUUAGCUAGACACAGAGCCCUGAUUGGUGCGUUUACAAACCUUUAGUUAGACACAGAGUGCUGAUUGGUGCGUUUACGAUCCUUUAGCUAGACAGAAAAGUUUUCCAAGUCCCCACCAGACCCAGAAGCCCAGCCAGCUUCACCUCUCAAUGGGAUUUUAAAAAAUGUUUUUACUUGGCAAAUAAAGACUUAGCAACCUAAUACCUACCUCUCAAAAUAUUUGUAAAUCAUACUGAUCUAUAAAAUCUAUUAAGUAUGAGAUUUGUUGAUAUAAUGACUCAUAAAAGCAAUGUAAUCCAAAUUAAA
ensembl:lncRNA GMDS-DT GMDS divergent transcript